rnacentral:rRNA from 1 species
UACAGAGGUCCCGAGCGUUGUUCGGAUUCAUUGGGCGUAAAGGGUGCGUAGGCGGCGGGGCCAGUCUGAUGUGAAAUCCCGGGGCUCAACCCCGGAACUGCAUUGGAUACUGCCUUGCUAGAGUACUGGAGAGGGAACUGGAAUUUACGGUGUAGCAGUGAAAUGCGUAGAGAUCGUAAGGAAGGCCGGUGGCGAAGGCGAGUUCCUGGACAGUUACUGACACUGAGGCACGAAGGCCAGGGGAGCGAACGGG